CAGAGUUCGUGCCCUCACGGGUAGAUCUCCCACCCUGUGUUAUUAUACCUUUGUUGCUUUGGCGGGCCGCCCUCGGCUACCGGCCCCGGCUGGUACGCGCCCGCCGGAGGCCCCAAACUCUUAUGUCUUUAGUGGUUUUCUCCUCUGAGUGACACAUAAACAAAUAAAUAA
rnacentral:misc_RNA from 1 species